ensembl:lncRNA
CUAAAAUCCAUAUUAUCCUAUACUAUAGGCUGGAUACAAAGCCUGGAAACCCAGAUAAUCUAUUAUUUUAUGAUUAUUCUAUCAAUAGACCACCCCUGUGCUAUUCAUACCUGUUUCCAGACUUGGGAGUGACACAGCUGAGUGAUUACAGAAAAGGUAGCUUUUUACACCUUUAAAAGAUUAGGCUUCAAGCCCCUAAGGAUGUUGGUCGUUUCCCUGACUAGGGCAGAGUUUUUGGCAGAGCUUCCAGACUAUUCGUUUCUACAUAGAUGUCAUUGCAUCAAAACACAGGUGGGGAAUGCUCUCCAGUUCUCUCUUCUGACCUUGGGAGAACCUGAAGUCUCAGCAGCAUCGCCUGAGCAACCCUGCAGAGUCAGGGUCACACCUCCAGCACCACAAGGAUCUCAUGUCCACAACAAAUCAACUCCUCCCUUUUUUUUUUUUUUUUUUUUUUGUAUUUUUAGGGCCAUACUCAUGGCACAUGGAAGCUCCCAAGCCAGGGGUCAAACUGGAGCUACAACUGCCGGCCCGUGCCACAGCCACAGCAACUCGAGAUCCAAGCCACGUCUUUGACCUAAACCACAGCUCACGGAAAUGCCAGAUCCUUAUCCCAUUGAGCGAGGCCAGGGAUCGAACCCACAACCUCAUGGAUACCAGUUCGGUUCAUUACUACUAAGCCACAAUGGGAAAGUCCCAAUUCCUCCUCUUUUACCAGAGUCCCUUCCGCUUAUUUCUGCUGCAGCACCACAAGGCUAUCCAACAGCAGUACAUGUAGACCACGGCCUGUAUGAGGAGGCUAUGACUUCACCCCAUAGGUGACACCCAUGGGGAGACACAGCAUCUGCAUCAGAGGAUGACCCAAGAAGUGCCGACAGACCCACAGAACGGGACAGGGCCAACGGUUAUCUGGACUAGAGAUGAACUAGUGAAGACUCUAAGUUCAUGACGCCAAAGUCAACCACAUGUGUACUCAAGAAAAAAUGGGUAAUCAGCAAAAAAUGGAAACCCCAAACCUUAAUAGUUUAGUUACUGGGCAGUCGGUAACAUGUCAAUAACAUAGUAUUUUUGGAGGUGGCUGCAUGUAAGUUCCUAGGCUGCAAUAGCAGACUCCAUAGCAGGAAAUAUACUGCUCUGUUCACCUCUCAAAUAGACCUCACCAUGCCUGCUGGACUUCCUUGUGGCUAAGACACUUUAAAAGCAUUCUAGGGAGUUCCCACUGUGGCUCAGCAGUAACAAACCCGACUAGUUCCCAUGAGGACUCAGGUUCAAUCCCUGGUCUUGAUCAGUGGGUUAAGGAUCCAGCGUUGCCAUGAGCCAUGGUGUAGGUCGCAGAUGCAGUUUGGAUCUUAUGCUGCUGUGGCUGUGGUGUAGCCUGGCAGCUGCAGCUCCAAUUCAGCUCCUAGUCUGGGAACUUCCAUAUGCCGCAAGUGUGACCAAAAAAAAAAAAAAAAAAAAAAGGCAUUAUAAACAAACACUGAAAAGAGAAAGAAAGCAGUGAAGGCUAUGGAGGCCAGGCACAGACUAAUAAUGUGGGCCGUUGACCAGGAGAGGGAUGCAGGGAAGGCAAAGGGUGGGGUUUGAAAACUCAAUGAGCUAUGGAUCAGAAGAGCUCUCUGCUUGCUCUGAACAGCCCCAAGUCCAGACCAGGGGCCAAAUAGAGUUGGGGAAGGGGUGCUGUGGGGGUAGCACGUCCCUCCUGGCAGGGCCUUCAAGGUAAACUGAGGAGGCCGACCGAGGUUAACACAGCUGACCUCAGUUCUUCCCCCACAUAUGAACUAGAGCUUUAAGGCCAAAAAUGUUUAAAUACCUCCCCUAAGAAACUCAAACUGGAGUGAAAAAAAAAAUCUAUAGUCUUAUACCUGACGUAUUUCAGUAUGCACAAGAGAAGAAUAAAUCAUGCAAAAAUACACACACUUCGAGGACGAUUUAGCAUUUUUCACCUUUAAAAGAUAAAUAUUUAGGAGGAGGAAAAAGCCUCAGAACCACUUCUUUUUUAAAUCUUAAGGAAAAGGAAAACAUUUAGGGCUACUUGUACUUCAAAUUCUGUCAUAUGAAAUUCUCUAAACCUUAACUUAAAACUCACUUCUACUUUUGGAAGAGAGAAAGCAAGGAGGCCGCACAAAAGGGCUUUAAGACGUGGGCAUGUUUGCUGCUUGUGCAAACUGGCAGGUUUAGAACAGUGAUUCCUGCGGGCCAUCAGGUGUAACAAUGUAACAAAGGAAAGUCAAGUGCAGUUUACUAACUGCAAGUCACCCAAACACUGGCACCAAUAUCCUGCUCACUACCCGGCUUCGAGGCGUGUAGAUCAGGGAGGCACUGGAUGGAGGGGCAGGACCACCAGGAACCUGUUGCCCACAAAACUCGCCAUCAUCUCCUGUCUAAAUCUUCUCGGCUUUAGGGUCCGAGAAAACCCGUAUCUAGAGAACCGAGGUUGGCCUGAGAGCCAAAAGGCCAACGAACAGACGCUUGCUUAUUCCAUCUCAGAGCAACUAAUCUGCACGAUCGGAAAAAUAUUAUCAUUGUGAAGUGAAAAGCUCACUAAAUUUCACAACGUCCAAAAAUGUGGAACGACUGAAAAAAUACAAGCAUAGCAGCCUUUCACCACCUACCGAGGGGGCGAGUGCCUCUUAGUCAAGCAGAGGGGAGGGGAGGGGAGUCUGAGCCAGGACACAGCCAUGGGCACUGUGUCUUAUAAAAGCCUCAACUCCAGGCAGCCAGGCCUCCGCUUCAUUCUAGAAAAUCCCAAGAGGUUCUGGCUGAGCCAGAGCCAGGGCAAGGACCCCAAUGACAAAAAUCUCUAACACUGUGGAACGCCUGUGUUUUCUCCUGCUCAAAAACGACUCCAUUUUUCUCUAAGGGUCAACAUGGACCAAUGGCAUCCUCAUCGCACCAACGUGCCUCCAGCAAUGGAGUUGGGCAGGUCCAAGCCACAGGAGAAAACCAGGAACUUAGAGACAUACACCUGUCCCCCCGGCAACCCUGGCCACCUGGGCAUCCUGCACCUCGGGUCUGGGUGCACAGCUUCCCUGGACCCUAGACCUCACCCCACAAAGGUGCCUCCAAGUUCCUGGGACCUGAGAGACUGGAUCUAAAAAGUCACCCGAGGUGGUUCCGGCUUUAAUACAUCACAAGAUACACAGUUCGGUCCACAGAAGGGUUAGGCCCACCCAGGUAACGAACUGAGAGCCAGACCCCCUGCGGAGGGGGGUAGGGGGUUGUCUGCUAUUUUUCAAUAGGAAGUACUUAGAUUUCCCAGUGUCUGGUUGUUAAGGGAGAGCUCCCUUGGCUCUAUAAUCAAGGGAUGCAUUCAGUGGAGCAUAUGGCAAUUGGCGGGCAAUUCCUAAUUAUUAUUGCUAUUGGGUAUCAAUAUGGGGAGACACUGGGAGGAAAGGAAGCUCAUGACUUGAGGUAUAAUUUUUCUGUAACUUUAGCCAAUUCCCCAAAGCUGAUGUAACACAUUCACACCAUGCAGAGGCUCUGCUGACAAACGCUGAAGUCCCAAUCUGCACUUUUUCAAUUCUAUACCUGUAAAAAUAAAACUGAAUCACUUCAAAUGAACGCCUUGUCUGCAGAGGGACGAAGGACAGGGAACAUCUACAGACUCCUUGUUUAAAAUGAACAAAGUGGUGGAGUUCCCGUUGUGGCUCAGUGGUUAACAAAUCCAACUAGGAACCAUGAGGUUGCAGGUUCGAUCCCUGGCCUUGCUCAGUGGGUUAAGGAUCCGGCAUUCCCAUGAGCUGUGGUGUAGGUCUCAGACGUGGCUCGGAUCCCGCAUGGCCAUGACUCUGGCGUAGGCCGGCGGCUACAGCUCCAAUUCAAUCCCUAGCCUGGGAACCUCCAUAUGCUGAGGGAGCGGCCCAAGAAAUGGCAAAAAAAAAAAAUAAUAAUUACAUAAAUAAAUAAAAUAAAAUAAAAUGAACAAAGUGGAGAAGUGCCACAGACUGAGGCUGUGCGCUCAGCGCGGCAGGGACCUAACUGGAGGGACAUCACCCAGAGGCCGACGUGCCCCACAUCAGGCAGGCGCUCCCCAGCCGGGCCGCCCUCCUAGGUGGGCAGGGAGGGGCCCAGGGCUUACCUCUGUGCUCGAGUGCAGGGCCACUGGCCCCCCAGCUCUGGUAGAGAGAAGCAAAGUCCUUUGGAAUGUAUGUCUUAAAGAUAUUGAGGAUGUCCAGGCGUUUCUCAGGGCUGUCAGCCACGGGCUCCUGCUUGAUGGUGGGCAGCACCGGUGAGGCCUGCGAUGCCAGGUGGCCCCUGGAGCCCACACCGUUGCCAGCCUUGGAGGGGGGUUCUCGGGGAGGUAGAGGGAGGCCCCCGUCACCUUUCACUUGUGGCUGACCCUGAGGCUGAGGGCUGAAUUUGGCUUUCAGGGGGUCCGGGGCGCUGUGCUUACUUGGGGGGACGAUGCCAGAUGCCACCGGGGGGUGUGCGUACUUGUCUCCCAGCCUGCUGUUGGCCGGGGGCUNNNNNNNNNNNNNNNNNNNNNNNNNNNNNNNNNNNNNNNNNNNNNNNNNNNNNNNNNNNNNNNNNNNNNNNNNNNNNNNNNNNNNNNNNNNNNNNNNNNNNNNNNNNNNNNNNNNNNNNNNNNNNNNNNNNNNNNNNNNNNNNNNNNNNNNGCCGGAGCCCCAUGCUGCUCAGGUCCCAGGCUGGGCUUGGUCGGCCGAGGCCCAUCGGGGGCAGCUGCCCAGAGUCCACAGGGUCCCCCGGGAUGGCUGUCCUUGUUCCUGGGCAAGCUGGCAGCUUUCACGGUCAUGCCCAGGGGUGAGGGGCUGCCUUUGGUCCCCGGCGCCCCACCUGGCACCUGAGUGCGGGUGAACCGGGAGAUGGGCAGGGGCUGACACUCCUUGCCGCCGAGGGCGGGCGGGGGCCCCGUGCGUCCACUCCGGGCGAGGAAAACCAAGUUGUUUCUGAUGCUCUUGUAGCCGUUGGGCUGGAUCCACUGGGGAGCCAUGGAGCUGCAGCUGACCCUGUGCCAGAGGCGCUUGUGCAUCCAGAGGACCUCGGGAUAGUAGGUCUUAUGGCUGCAGUAAGGACACGGGUGGACGGCCAAGGCCGCUUGCAGCGAGGAGGCCAGCUCCUUAUGGCUGGGGUCAGCCCGCGUCGACCUCUCACUCAGGUCCAGUGGGAUCAGGUCUGGGGCCAGCACCCUUUUCCCUCCCCCGGAAUGUUCCUUGUUGUGCAAAUCGGACAGCUUCUCCUUCAGGUGGGUGGCCUGGCUUUCUGACAAGAGCUGCAGAUCUGCCCGUUCCAGAAAAGUCUGAUCAGGCUUCGAAGGGAGGUCUGCAGAGUCCCUGGAGCCCGGGACCUCUUGCUUGGGGUGAAAUGCUGGCAUCUUUAAGUCCAUGGAAAACCUAGGCUGCUCUGGUCUCUUGGAAGUCUCUCUGCUACCAUUUUCAAGUACGGAUGUGGAAGCAGUGAUCCCCAUGCUGGGCUCCCCGGAGUCUCUUCCAGAUGGGUGAUUUCCAAGUGUGUGACUUUGGUCUCCAUUGGAGAGCCUGGUCGGUGCUACUUCUUCAGAAAAGCAGCAGCGGUGUGGCUUUGCCCCUGAAGGAUCAAAAUGAGUGAAGUUACCAUUUCUCAUCAGAACAGAACAAGAGACAGAGAAGCACACCCACGAUUCCAGGCCCACUCAUGGAGGGGAGCACUCGGAUCUCAGGAACGGUGUGAUCCAGGGCCUGGACUAACAGGCUCUGUUGGAAGCAGACCAAACUUGAGGGCAAAUUAACAUUCUUAAGGGUUGGGCUUUUUUUGAUUUUGCUUUUGCUUUUCUUUUUGUUUGCAAUUAUAUGACUCAGUAGAUCACAGAGGAAAAUAACAUAGCUGCCCAUUUAGUGACAUAUAACCACACUGUUACUAGUUAACAUAGAGUACUAGUUAUAUCAAAACCAGGAAAAAGACUUAAUUCCUUAUAAGAGCAUAAGUUUUCCAUAAGGUUCAAAGACCCUCUGAGCUAGUGAUCAUAUGGAAACUAUGGGCUCUGGUCUGAUUCAGAAAGGGUUCCUGUGACUCUCCAGUAUAGCCCAACACUCAGCUCCAAACUUGACACCAACAGUUUCCUUUGGAGGCCUGAGAGGGAAGCGGGUGUCACACUUGUCACCCACCCUUCUUGGGGAAGAGGGGGCGCUGCCCAGGGAAACCAUGCAUCCUGGAUGGGGACCCCUCUCCUGCUCCCAUGAGGCCUGCCAGAAGCUUUUGUGGGAAAGACACUGUGGCCAGUUUCCCCGCCACCAGGAGACCCCACGUCCUCUUGGGUGAAUGCUGUGGGUCUGGGAAGUCACCCCAAGCUCUGCCCGGCUCCCCAACCUCUGGCCCAGGUGUGCAAAGCUUCUCCUCGACUAGACUGCAGUGCAAGUGGAUU